AUUGAACGCUGGCGGCAGGCUUAACACAUGCAAGUCGAGCGGAGACUUCGGUCUCAGCGGCGAACGGGUGAGUAAUACCUAGGAAUCUGCCUAUUAGUGGGGGAUAACGAAUCGAAAGGUUCGCUAAUACCGCAUACGUCCUACGGGAGAAAGGGGGGGAUCUUCGGACCUCUCGCUAAUAGAUGAGCCUAGGCCGGAUUAGCUAGUUGGUAGGGUAAAGGCCUACCAAGGCGACGAUCUGUAGCUGGUCUGAGAGGAUGGCCAGCCACAUCGGGACUGAGACACGGCCCGGACUCCUACGGGAGGCAGCAGUCGGGAAUAUUGGACAAUGGGCGCAAGCCUGAUCCAGCAAUACCGCGUGUGUGAAGAAGGCCUGCGGGUUGUAAAGCACUUUCAGUUGGGAAGAUAAUGACGUUACCAACAGAAGAAGCACCGGCUAACUCCGUGCCAGCAGCCGCGGUAGUGUAGUCGUGU
rnacentral:rRNA from 1 species